GACGAACGCUGGCGGCGUGCCUAACACAUGCAAGUCGAGCGCGCAGCCAUCGGUAGCAAUACCGGUGGUGGGCGAGCGGCGAACGGGUGCGUAACCCGUGGGCAACCUGCCCCAGACUCUGGGAUAACCCCGGGAAACCGGGGCUAAUACCGGAUACUCUCGGCCGGCCGCAUGAUCGGCCGAGGAACGCUCCGACGGUCUGGGAUGGGCCCGCGGCCUAUCAGCUUGUUGGUGGGGUAACGGCCUACCAAGGCGACGACGGGUAGCUGGUCUGAGAGGACGGCCAGCCACACUGGGACUGAGAUACGGCCCAGACUCCUACGGGAGGCAGCAGGGGGGAAUCUUGCGCAAUGGGCGAAAGCCUGACGCAGCGACGCCGCGUGAGGGAUGAAGGCCUUCGGGUUGUAAACCUCUUUCGGCAGGGACGAAGCGAAAGUGACGGUACCUGCAGAAGAAGCCCCGGCUAACUACGUGCCAGCCGCCGCGGUAA
rnacentral:rRNA from 1 species